AAAGUCGUAACAAGGUAUCCGUAGGUGAACCUGCGGAUGGAUCAUUAACAGUAUUUUAUACUACAACAACACCUGUGAACUGUAAUGGGCGGUUUAUCCCUCAUUUUUAUUAUAUUUUAGACUGAAUAACAUGAUAUAUAACAUUUAUAAAACUUUUAGCAACGGAUCUCUGGGCUCUC
rnacentral:misc_RNA from 1 species